CUGGUUAACACAGUAGCCAUCCAUGUGUACAGAUGAUCAGUAAGAAGAAAGUGAAAUUCUCUAAAACCAAAAAAUAUAAAAGUAUUUUUGGAAAGCAUAAAAUUGAUUUCAUCAUAGCAAGAAUAGAAUUGCCUUGCCAUCAUCACUAUUUUCUUGCUCGGUGGCUACUCUGUAAGAUUUCCAAGGUCAAGCCCAGUGCCCCUACCAAGGCUGAGUCCUUCAGAAUUUCCAGAGCUCCUCUGCUAAUCCAGUCCUUACUCACCUUAUACAACAAAGAGCUCUCCGGGAAGAUUUUUCUUCAUGGUGAACUCACACUGGAGCUGGACUCUGCCCUGCUGUUUCCUUCAUGUGCUGCUCAAAGCUCUUCUUAUGGGUCACUGGAAUGUCAAGUAUCACUGCCUGGCCAAUGAUUCAACAGAGAGGGCACAGGGAUAGAAGCAAGGAGCUCAUGGACCUGUUCACAGGGAAGCCAAAAGUGCACAGUUGUCCAAACCCACCCUCCUGGACAAGUGAAAUUUCAAACCCCAUGUGAUGGCAUUUGGGAAGUGAGUAGGCCGUGACGAUGCCCUUGUGAAUGGGAUGAGGGCCCUUAUGAAAGAGUGUGUUCUUCUGUCCUUCCGCCAUGUGAGACUGGAGUGAGAAGUUGCUGUCUGUAAACCAGAAAAUGAGCCUUCACGUAGCAAAUCUGCC
rnacentral:lncRNA from 1 species